rnacentral:rRNA from 1 species
GAUGAACGCUAGCGGGAGGCCUAACACAUGCAAGCCGAGCGGUAUUGUUUCUUCGGAAACGAGAGAGCGGCGUACGGGUGCGGAACACGUGUGCAACCUGCCUUUAUCUGGGGGAUAGCCUUUCGAAAGGAAGAUUAAUACUCCAUAAUAUAAUGUACGGCAUCGUUUAAUAUUGAAAGCUCCUGCGGCUAGAGAUGGGCACGCGCAAGAUUAGCUAGUUGGUGAGGUAACGGCUCACCAAGGCGAUGAUCUUUAGGGGGCCUGAGAGGGUGAUCCCCCACACUGGUACUGAGACACGGACCAGACUCCUACGGGAGGCAGCAGUGAGGAAUAUUGGUCAAUGGGUGCAAGCCUGAACCAGCCAUCCCGCGUGAAGGACGACUGCCCUAUGGGUUGUAAACUUCUUUUGUAUAGGGAUAAACCUACUCUCGUGAGGGUAGCCGAAGGUACUAUACGAAUAAGCACCGGCUAACUCCGUGCCAGCAGCCGCAGUAAAAC